UGGCGCGGGUUACAGCGUUUUAAUAACGGUGUCAUGGGGUGUCGGGGGUCGGAGGUUCAAAUCCUCUCGUGCCGACCA
rnacentral:tRNA from 1 species